GUUGCUUUAGCAACGGCCCGAAGGGCGAGGCAAAGCCGAGUCAUCCUGCACGACCCACCA
rnacentral:sRNA from 1 species